ACAAAAAUUUAAAAAAAAAUCUGGUUCGUACCCGGUACUUUCUAAAAUGACCGCCCUCACCGCUUGGGGGAGCGCGAGAGUUAUUGUGUUGUAAACAGUUCAAGUUGAAGUGUGCCAUGAGUGAAACGAAAUCAAAUGUCAACAUUUCACUCAUUUCGAUACUGUGUAUCGCGUUACUGUGUAAUCUCCGUUUCAAUAUUUGAACUUCCUAAGCUGCUUCCAGAUUGGCAUAUUUGGUAAACGUUCAGGACGGCGCUUGACGACAAUGGUAAGGUCUUCAAUCUGCUGCCCAACGACAUUGACUGGCCAGUUAGGUAAAGUUUUUAGCUAAAUGAAUUAUGGAGAAACACCAAGUUCGCUUUCUGAAGGUAGCUGAUUUGGUCAUAGGGUGAAAUAUCGAGACAAGUUUAGGAAAAAUGAGAGAGAAAAAAAGGCACGAAGAAAGUUCAGUUAAGACCUCGAGUAAACUACGGGGCUCACUGGCUCUUUUUUUGAGAUCAUCGACGAAGAGAAAUCCGAAUCUCCAAAUGGAAUGAAAAUAUGCAGCUCGAAGCAAAUGUUCAAAGUUCUGCUUGAUUAUAUUCACAAUGAUGCGAAUUCUGUGAUAUACGGACUGCUCAUGUUGUAACGACAUAGGUGGUCACCAACAGAGCCUAUGGAACCACCAUGAAACGAACUAAUUCUCUUAACUCCGAGAAUAUUCCUCUCAUAGCAGAUGGAAAACUUUUGAAUACA